rnacentral:siRNA from 1 species
UGCGUGUGCUUCGCGAGUCUGGUC